rnacentral:lncRNA from 1 species
GGGGGGGAAGGAGAGAGGCUCCCUGGGCAAAGCACCUGUCCCGUUAGCAGGGGCACAGUCACGUUUGAGUUGAGAGCUGCCGGCGCCUUUGGUGACCAGGCUGGCGUUGUGCUGGGCGACCUCCCCGUAAGCGGGGCUCGGGUCUUUGCUGUAGUUGGCCUUUUGCCUUGCUGCUCCUUUGGCUGCCUGGGGAGCGUGGCCCCCUGUAACGGAGGGCGAGAGCCACCUCUCCGCACCUGAGUGGGAAAUGGAGCUCGCCGGACCCCAAGGCCACCCUGUAAGCAGGGUAGUGCCGUUUCCCUGCCCUCUUCCUCCCCCGGCCCCUCGGCAUCGUUGCCUGAUGGUGGCUUGUCAAUGCGACGGCCCCGUACUCGGGGUGUGUGUCCCAAGCUUUGGAGCCCUCUGUCCCUGAGCAGCCCGCCCGCCCUGUAAUCAGGUGUGGGGAGGCUGCAGCGUUGCAGCCGGCUGCUUUAGCCAUCCAGCUGGUGGGAGUGACCCCUCCCUGUCCCGUCAGAGGGUGCAGGUUGAGGUGCUGUUUGUGUGUGGGGUGACCUCCCCGCUCGGUGGGUCGAGGUAGCUCCCUGGGCUUCCAAAGACGAGACGUUGGUGAUGUUCUGCUGCUGCCGGGCGGGCCAGCCUGUAACUCAGGCGUUGGCGGGAGCCUCGUGCUCCGCGGGGCUUCUUGAAGAGGGUGAGGUGUGGGGGUACCGUCCUGUAGGCAGGGCUGUGUGUGCCCCCCGUGUGUGCUUGGUGAGCUGCGUUCUGAGAGACCCCCUGUACUCAGGUGGGAAUGUGGCCCCGGCCUUUCAGAGGCGCGGGGCCGUGAGAUGCGGGGUGGGGCUUGCGCCCUCCCUGGAAUCGGGGCUGGGAUCCCGACUGCGGCCUUUGGCCGUGCCGCCCCGCUGCCUGGCUGCUGAGAGUUGCUCCUGCCGCUGGGGGGGAAACCGAGCUCUGUGGC